rnacentral:ncRNA from 1 species
GCUAAAUAAAAGCGUGAAGGUGCCAUUAUGGAUAAUAGGGAAUGAGGUGAAAAUCCUCAGCGGACCCACCACUGUACACGGUAGAGAUUUUCAAUUGCCACUGGCUUUUGCCGGGAAGGCGAAAGUCUUGUUAUUCCGUAAGCCAGGAGACCUGCCUUUAUGUAAUAUGUCUG